rnacentral:lncRNA from 1 species
AUGAUUUAUUGCAGUUAAACUUCACCCUGAAUUUUAGUUUAUGAAUCAUGGAAAGAAUUGACUUUAAACUUUUAUCUUUUUAAACCCUAAUUGUUCCGUAGAUUCUUUUUAAGCAGCCAUUGAAAUUAAGGUAAAAAUUUUGAAAAAAAUAUGAAAUAUUGGAUUGGAGUCGAAUGCACCCACACGAGCGGGUUCGAACUCACAACCUCAGUGUUGACUGGCUAGUGAUUACAGUAGUAACUAAUUAGACCACUCGGCCACCGAGGCCCCCUAUAACAUUUGAAUAUAAAGAUCUAAGUAUUAAGGAUCAUGAACAGUCGAGCCUGUUUUAAGCAUGUCACUGAUGGGAAGUGUCAAAAGAGGUUCUGAAAUAUUCCCAGUCCAAAAAAAACAAAACGUGGCUGGGAUUGAAACGUGGUUAAGUGUUACAGUUGGAAGAUUUAUUGUUCAUGUUAGCAGACAAAUAUUAAAUGGUGGAUUCUUGCUCUGUAAAUUUGAAG